CGACAGUUAUUCUUACCAAGGGAAUAUAUUGAUUCAUUCUGAUCAAUGGUCAGGUUUUGGUAAAGGGACGGAGUACUGAGGAGAUUCGGCACCCCGAGUUCAUCCAUCGAACAAGGAUCAUCCACAGAAGAAAGAAUUUCCAGUUAACUGGAUGGCGAGCCAACCUACAGAACUCUGAAAGGAGAUUGCAAAGACUACCUCAUCUAAGACCGAUUUCCUUCGGUGCUUCUCUUGGUGCGGUAGGACAGAUAUCGAAACACACACUCACCUGGAUUGGGCCCCAACGAUCGAUCCAACGACUUAACAAAAAGACUAAAACAAACUGACACGACUGGACUCAAAACACUUUGAAAGGGGGGAAAUUAUUUUACGCGCGCACUUUAUUUUUCUUUUGUUAUUGUCAUUUCUAAAUUGUGCUCUGUUAACUUGACACUGCAGUUAUUGUGUUAAUACACGCAUUGUCAAAAAGCCA